rnacentral:lncRNA from 1 species
GAAGGGAAUAGUUUUGCUGCCAAUAAGCAAAACAGGCAAUGUUCAAAAAGGAUAGCAAGAAAAAACCCAAAAAGUAGGAAUUGACAACAUGAAACAUCCUAAAAGUAAUUUUCCAUAAGAACUACCGUAGUACAGUCUGAGGAAAUUCGGGUUGAAUCCACUUUCGAUGGCCUGGUCAGCAUUCUGCCCAUCGAUUGCCAUGUCAUCCCUCCCAUUAGCAGCUUCUUCGAUCGCCAUCUCUAUCUAACGAAUCUGCUACAAUAACAGUUCAGUGAAACUAAACUUCCUGCGUGUUUAAAAUCUACUGAAACUUCAAUCGAAGGAUUGGACAGCGAGAGAGAGAGAGAUAGAGAGCUUACGAUUGAGUGCUGCGCAGAUUGAAUCGAGCUUCCUGAUGAAGGAUUGACAGCAGGAGAGAGCGAACUGAGUGAAGAAAAUUAGGGAUUGCAAGGAAAGAGAAAGAAAAUUGAAUUUUGUUUUAAGUUCUUCUAGCUAAACUGGCAGG